UGGGGUUACAGGCAUGUGCCACCACGCCCAGCUAAUUUUUGUAUUUUUACUAGAGACGAGGUUUCACCAUGUUGGUCAGGCUGGUCUCACACUCCUGACCUCGUGAUCCACCCGCCUUGGCCUCCCAAAGUGCUGGGAUUACAGGCGUGAGCCACCGCGCCUGGCCCCAACAUGGAUUUUAAGGACAGCAGCACACUGGGGAGACAAGGGGCCCCACAACACUCCCACCCUGUUCCUGGCUUCCUGGUUCUGCUCUCUUGGGGAGAACAAGACUCUUAUCUGGCUUUCUCUGACUUCUAGCCCUUCUAGGCAGCUGAAAAUGACAAGUAGGAAAUCCUGGCUUGCUUUGAGCCCUCUUUGGUUUCACUGUAAGGUGGAAACUUGGGCAGAUGGGGAAGGACAGGUGGGAAUCCCGGGAGGAAGGGACAUUGAUCUGAUGGUGGAACACUUCCUCUUGUUGGAAACAGGUUUAUAACAUUGGGAAAAAUCCACACCAAGACAAUGGAUCACUCAGCAAGACUAGUUUAUUUCCUUCAGGAAGGGUACAACUCGCUGGCAUUCUUGCCAUGAGAGCACACCUGAACAAAGGAGACAGGGACAUUUAUAAUUUUCAUAACCCGAUGCAGUUGCCCUGCUGCUGUGUCCAGUUCCCAUUGGCUGGAACUAGACACAUUCUAUGCUCAACCUGAUUGGCUAAAAACUUGGAAAUUUUCUAAAGAAGUAAAGGCAGAGAAGAACAAAGGACAAGAGGAAGUAACUUGAGGAAUGCUUAGAGAAGCGAUAACAUUUCCAAAUAAGGAAGUUAAAGUGUAAGAACUAAGAACACGGGAUGCACUUAUUUCUUUAUUAUGUCUAACAGCUACUUUAAGAUUAUUAGCAAAAGCUUUAAAGUAAAUUAACUUUUGAAGAAACUAUUAUUUAUUUGUAAUGAACUAAGAGGAAAGCUUUGAAGAGAAACUUUUACGUAUUAUUUCCUACACUCUUCCAUUCUUUUGUGUAUUCUAUAAUGAGGUAUGUGCUAUGGGAUAGUUGAUUUAUUUUCCAGUGUUGACACUGAAGUGUUCUCAGGCUGGAAUCCCAUGGCCACCAUGACCAGGGCUGUAGGGGACCCAGGUGCCCAGGUUCUCUGAAUAGUGUCAGCAGCGUCUCUGGCCAGCAUUGAGCCAGGGGUCCCACGUCACCUGGUUUAGUGGGGGAUGCUCUCUGGGAUCGAAGGUGAGGAAUUAUUUUACUAGUGUUUCCAGUGGAAAUGAAAAAAUAGGUGGGGAGUCAUAUUGUCUUAUAGCCUGAGGUGGGAAGGGACCGUGGGUGGGGCUGGAUGUUCUUUCAGCCUCCCUGGCAGAGAUCGCAGUGUGGUCAGCUUGGCCAAGCUUCUUCAAUGACUGGCUCUGAUGUGGGGGAGGGAGGAAGCCCAGAGCAGGAAUGCCUUUCCAGGGGCUCCUAUCCUUGCAGCGGAGGAGCUGGCUAUCCUGGCCUCAGAGCCUCCUUCACUGUGGCCCAAGGGGGAGAGUGGCCUGGGGGAUCCAUGCCCCAGGGGCAAACCUCUGGGCUCUGGCUUCAGCCCCACCCCAGGAAAACAUUCACAGCCUCACCGGAGGAGAGCCCUUCUGCAGGCUCAGCGGGAAGUACUGGAUUGCCAGGCAAGGCUGAGCUGCCCUUGGCAGCCUCGGGUCUCCAUGGAGACGGGGGCGGGGCCAGGUGGCGGGGGCGGGGUGCCCAACAGCCAACUGCAAGCCCUCAACCGCCAAGGCCCAGGCUCAGCCGCCAAAGGCCAAGACCAAGACCCGUCUGGCGCGGCUGUCCCUACAAGGACCGGUGCCCUCUGAGGGUUUCGAAGCUCCUGUCUCUGCUCAGCGCCUCCAGAGGCCUCCCCUGGGCCCUCUCUACCGGGUCCCCAGGGGCCUCAAAGCGCUGGCCCCGCCGCGGAGUCACUCACCUGAGUCUCCCGACCUUCCAUGGGUCCUUCUAGCCCUGGGUUUUAAAGUUUGUCCUUCCUCAGUGCCGCCUGCCCAGACAUGCCUGCCCUAGGACCACAGCUGACCCAGGGUGGCUGCGUCAAGGAUCGCAGACCACUGGUCCAGGGCACAGGCGACAGGAGCCCCAAGGCCCUGUGGGCUGCCCUGCCUGGGGCUGACCCUCAGGGUGGGCAGGGGGCACUAAGAUCGUCUCCCCUUCCUCAAGGCUCCUUCCUCUCAUGGGGUGAAGGGCUCCCAAUCCCAGCACCUCGGGGGCCUUCCUGUUUCAUUCAUGCCCACAUCAGUGUGCAGGUACAGAGAAGACAGAGACGCUGGCCCCCGGGUGGGUGAGAGAGACUAUCAGUGCAGACUUCCUGGCCAGGGGCCAGGAAGGAAACACCAGGAAAAGUGAGGGUGGAAGAUGGGGUAACCCUACUGCAGAUGGGGUACUCAGGGAGGGCUUCUCUAGAGGAGGUGACAUUCACUUGAUAGGCAAAAGGGACAGGCAAGGCCAGUUAAAGUCUUCUCUGAAAGGGAACAGCAGUGCCCAAUGGGGUGUUCCAGGAUGGAAAUAGGGUAUCGGGUAGGGGUGGGGAUGUGAGCCAGGCAGGCAGGGACCAGACACCAUGUGAUGGGUGCAGGGGCGGGACCCACGGAGGCUCUGAGGAAGCUCUGGGACUCAGAAGAUGGGGAAACAGGAGGACCCACUCGAAGGCCUGCACCCAGGCAGGAAGCCAGAACUGAAUGCGCCACAACACCUUCUUGGGGCAUUUGCUAGGCCUGGCUUUCUCUCCCCAUGCGCUGCACUCUGCCAUGAACUCCUUCCCCUUCCUCAACCAAGCAGACAGAGGAAGUAGAACCAUUGGAGGCAGGAGCACUGGACUGGGAAUUGGAGUGAAAUCCAAAUGUCCCAUGGGCCCAGCUCUUCUCUGGAGCUCAGCUUCAUGUCAACUGGGGUUGGGGGACAAGGGACAGCAAGAUUGGCUCUCAGACCCUUCCCAACUCCACCCUGCAAUGCUUCUCAGUGGUCUCAGGGCCCAUCUCAUUUAGGAAUAAUAAGCUAUAGAAGAACAAAGGAAGCAGCCAUGUUUUGAGUGGCACAUAUAUCAGGCUCUAGACUAGCUAUUGGUUUGGGUAGGGGUUGAUUUUUUUUCUCCCUUUCACAAAACAUGAGUCCUGACUAGAGCCAGAAGUUAGAUUCCAGUUUCUAGAUUUUCAUCAUUCCAUGUCGCAAAAGGUACACAUCUAGGAGACAGAGGAGCAGAUUAUUAGCCUGUAAAGGAAAGAUGAGAUAGCCAGAGAAAAUGUAGCAGAAAAGGAAUCAGGGUGAGGGGAUUAGGAAUGGCAGAGAAGGAGGUGGGGGAGAGGGAGUUGGGGGCAGGGCUGGGACAAACAAAAGACAAAGCAGGGAGGGGGCCAGGGAAAUAAAGUCCCAGAGGUCAGCAGGGACCAGAGCCACAGUGGGGGCCUCAGGAGAGCAGGAAGCUGCAUCCACCUUGGAAAGGUGGAGAGAGGACUGCAGUGAGCCAGGCGGGGAGGAAGGGGGAGGGGCAGGGCAGAGGAAGCAGGGGACAGACAGGGGGAAGAGAUGGGGCCCUGGGCCAGGUGGGGCGGAGGGUCCCUCUGGUCUCCAGGAGGCUCCAGGCUGUCCUUCAGCUCACCCAUAGCUUUGGAUAGGAGGCCUGUGAAGGUCACAGAUCCCUUCUUGACUUGAAUCAUACUAAUUGACCCCAGCAGCAGCUUGGACACCUCUGUCCUCUGCUGAAUGCCUCUGGGCCGAGUGUGCUGGACACACGGCAGCAUCAGCAUAUUGCCCAGCUCCCACCUGCUGUGCACUAGACGUCAAAACCUCCUCCUCCUGUCCAUCUCAGAAUUUGGUCCUUUGACAGAAAACCCCCAGUUUCUUUGCUCUGCUUCUCCCCCACUCUGGUCACCAUUGAUCUACUGGCUAUUUUGAUGAGGCCACUUUUUUAGAUCAACACUUCUGUGACAUGGGGAAUUUGUCUUUCUGAGAUUGUAGAGAUGCUAAGUAGCGUGAUUUUUUCGUUCCACAGUGCACACCUCUCUCGAAUCCUCAUUGUACCCCAUAAAUGAAUACAAGCAUGAUUUGCCAAUUAAAAUAGUAAUAAAGUCAUAAUAAAUACAAUGAAAUGCAGGAAGUGGGGCUUGACCACCCACCUACUUGAUUUUUGUCAUCAGUCGUGCAACUAUAUUUGGGUGAUCUUAUUGCUUAUUUUCUCCAGUGGAUAGAUGCAGAAUACUCUUAAAAUCAUUGAAACACAUUUUCUGCCAUCCAAGUACUAACCAGGCCUGACCCCGCUUAGCUUCUGAGAUCUGACGAGAUCAGUCAUGUUCAGGGUGGUAUGGCCAUGAGCCCAGGAGGCAGAGGUUACAGUGAGCCAGACAUGGCACCCCUGUACUUCAGCCUGGGUGACAGAGUGAGACUCUGUCUUCAAAAAAAAAAAAAAAAAAAGGCAGCAUCUGGCAGCCCUGCCACAGCCCUGGCUUCUUGUCCACUUGUAGCACGUGAGCUUCCUGUGAUGAUUGCUGAGCCAAGAAUGUUUCUGAAUCUUCAUCACUGCUGAUGGUGUUCUAGGUGGACGGGGAGACCACAGGGUCAUGCUGGGGGGCUUCACUGAAACUGUCUGGCUUCAUCUGCAGGCCGGCAGGUGCAUUGACAGGAACGUUGGUGAUUUCAGCUGAAUGCUGAAUGUGGGACAACCUGAAAGACAUUUACAGUGGACUCUCUCAGGUGUUUUUCAAUAUGCAGUGCAUUCUCAUUGACUCUGGUCAUCUUGCUGUGCACUGGAUGUCAAAACCUCUUCCUUCUAUCCGUCUCAGGCUUCAAGAAGGGACUUUGAAUUUGGCCAGCAACUCUCCAUUUCCUUCCUCUUCUCCACCCCAAACCCGCUUUUGGCCUCUGAGUACCAUUGAUGUACUCUCUACUGGUGCUCUGGCUGGAGGGGGAGGCCAUGGGGUCAUGCUAAAGGGCCUCAUGGGAAAUGGCUGGCUUUCUCUGCAGGCUGGCAGGUGCACUGGCAGGAAUGGUGGUCUUCUGCCCUGACUUCUGGCCCUUCUCAGGCAGUUGAAUUCUAAAAGUCUCAAAAGGUGGCUCACUGAGUCCACUUCAGCCUCUUCUAACCUACACUAUGCACGUCAAGAACAAAACAUAGAAUUACCCCAAGCACAUGUCCACGGCAGGCACUAGCACCCCUGGCCCAGGAAGAGUUCUGGGGCCACGUAAGGGUACGUGCCACCAAAGGCUGGCAGUGUCUGCUUCUUUGUAAGUGUGAUGCUGAAGCCAAAGCCCAGGUAUUUGACGUUGCCUUCCUCAUCCAGUAGGAUGUUUUAUGGCUUUAGGUCUCCAUGUUUGGUGUUUCUGAAGACAAAUUUAGUGGCUCCCUGGCAGCAAUGGCUCUCUCCACAGGGAGAAGCUGAGAUCACACCAUCUGAUGCUCGGUGGAGAGGGCUCUGGCUUCCCGGGCUGUUCCCUGGGGACAGGUGACUCCUCCUGGGCCUCCUGCAUGGAUGGAACUGGCUUCCCGGGCUGAUCCUGGGGACAGGUGACUCCUCCUGGGUCACCCCUACUGCUGCUGUUGCAGUAGGUGGAGGAGGAGCCCACAGGGCCACACUCAGAGAUCUGCUGGGAUUGGUUCAACCUACCUCCAGGCCCAGUAGGGAACAGGCAGGCAAGGUGGCUCUCUGGGCAUCUUCUGUUUUGGCCCUGGUCCUCCUCGGGCUGCCGGAUUUCUGAAGUAAAGGUGGGAGAGGCCGAAGUGAAGACCUGUUUCACCAAACAUUCCAGCCUUUGACUCUCCUUUGGUUGGACAGAAAGGAUGGACUUAACUGGGGGAUGGAGAAGGUCAGUGGGACAUCCAAGCAUUAGGUAGGUCAGUGGGACCCCCAGCAUUAGGCCGUGACACUUGGGACCCAGGGAGAGUUCUGGGGCAGCUUAAGGGGAGGCCUGGCAAAGGCGCUCAGUCUCUGGUCUUGGCAACAUGUGGUGCUAAAGCCAUGGAAUAAUCCUAUUUUUUUCCUAAUCACAUUCCUUGAUAUGCCAGAAUGACACGGCCACCAUGAGCCAGGUUGUUAGGGGACCCAGGUGACUGAGGAGUGGCUGUAUAUGUGGCCUGAGCAUUUCCUGGCCAGUAUUGACCCAGGGGUCCUGCAUCAGUUGGUCCUGUGUCGUUCACUCUCUGGGGUCAAGGGUCAGAAAUUUCUUGAUAAAUAUUUCAAUUCGGAAGGAAUAUAGGCAGUACAUAAUACUUUCCUUGAAUAUGUUUUUUUGAGCCUAAGAAGUUCUGCCUGCCAGAUGGCAGGGCCCUGGCCCCAUGCAAUGGGAGGGGAGAGCCAAGACCCACACGACCACUGUGGGGCCAUGACUCUCGGGACCCAGGGAGAGUCCUGGGGAAGCUUAAGGGGUGGCCCGGCAAAGGCGCUCAGCCUCUGGUCUUGCCAACAUGUAGUCUGAAGCCACAGUCUGCUAUUUUCAUGCUGUGGUCUUCAUCCAGGAGUUCUGCCACUUCAGGUCCUGGCAGCUGACUUUUUGGUGGCAGUACUGGAGGGCAGAUAGUAUUUACAGAAACAUGACUUGUUCCUCCUCCUCCUCCGUGUGGCCGGGCUGGAAUGUCUGGUGGAAAAGAUCUUCAUGCUGGUAUCACCACAGUAUGAGAUGUCCGAGGUUCCAGUGACAUGUUAUGGCUUUAUGAUGAUGGGGGCACUCAGGGCCUUUGUGACUUCUACCUUUUCAUGUAGACUUAGAAGCCUGGGGGAGCCCCUAGCUAUGUAUUUUAUUUUCAUGGCAACCUGGGUCCUGGUGAGUUUGUGCUGGGUCAACUUCACCGCAUCCAAGCUUCCCCAGCCAAUGCUCUUGAGGACUGUGGCAUUUUUAAGGUCCUUCUUGAUGGUGGAAGCCAGACCUGAAGCAGGCGCUUCUCACAGAGCCCGCACUUGCAGAGUGGGGAGCAGCACCAGGGCGGGGGCACAGACUCUGGGGGGCUCUUGGGGAGCUCAAGCCUGAGGGCCCACAGGACUUUCUCAGGCUGCAAAUUGGUAUUAGGUGGGGGAGAUUCAGUAUUCAUACCUGGGAGACGCUUGCCCCCAAAGUGAAAGGAAAUCCGGCGAGGCUUUGGUGUCCCAGCACGCAGGUAGGCGGUGGGGCCACAGCCAGGCCCUCUCUACGUGACACUUUAUGGGGUCUCGGCAUCCCCCAUGAUGACAGGGCUCCACUAAGCUGCUCUCUUCAGUGUUCCCACACAAGCCAGAGUGUGGUACUUUCUGAGCCAUUGCCCUCUGCCUUCCCCUUCACGGGCUGGGGAAGAGCUGUGAGGAGCUGCAAGGUCCUCUCUGAUGGUGGAUGCAGCCAUCUAAAGGCACCCGAGCCCCAGCCCUUGGGAGCCCAGGUGCAGGCUCUGUCUCUGCCUCUGAAUGGCAGAAUGCCAUGGGCAGCCACUGUGAGUGGCUGAGGGAGGGCCGUGACGAGGUCUCCAUUCCAGGCCAGUGUUCUGGAUCUGCGUGGGGAGAAUCAGGGAGGCCCAGCGUAAGCACCCUGCCCAGUGGUGGCCUCUGCCAUGGGCACACAGACUCCGAGCCAGGGAAGAAACACAGCAGUCACCUUGGAGGAGGGGCCUCUGCCCACCUGUGCAACAGCCACCAGGGGCUCCUGGCUUCACAGCCUUGCUGGGGAGAGACAGGAAACCGAGGCCUGGGAACCCCCAACUGCCUGAGGAGCCACUCGAGGCUGCCUAUUCACCUCUCCCUUGCUUCCUCCUUCCAAGAACAUGGGCACAAUGUUGAGCACUUGGGAGAUGACAGAUCGGGACCAGUCCCAGCCAGAACCACUGCCCCGCCCUGCAGCCUACAGCAGCCCUUCCUCUGUGGCUUCAGUGUCCUCUUAGUUCAAUGGGCAUUGCCAGGUCCCUGUGGUACCUUCCAUGUCAUAGACAUGUGAGGGGUCACAGGAUCAUCAUCCAGCACUAUUCACAGAUGCAGACUGAAGCUGGAACCUCAGAAUCAGAGCUGGAGGGGGCCUUUUUGUGCAGAUGGGGACACUGAGUCUUCGACAGCACAGCCAAGAGAGGCAGAGCCAGCCUGCAACUGCACUGAGUCGGGUGGGGAGCCUCCUCUCCUGCUCGGAGCUUCUUUGCAUACCCUUUGCUUGUUCAGCCUGUCAGUCUCAUGACAGACAAGACAAACAUCUACAAGACAAGACAAAAUUCAACCAUAAAUACAACGAGGGGGAACCCGGCAGGAGGGAGGGGAGCUGGCUGUAAAAGGGCAAUGCAAUGCCAGGUACCUUGUGGUGGUGGCCGUGUUCAGUGCCAUGACUGUUACACACGCUGACAUGGGUGGGAAGAUCGUCCUAGAGCUUUGCACAGUGUUACCAUUGGGGGAAACUGGGCAAAGAGUAUAAGGGAUCUCUGUACUAUUUCCUACAACUUACGUGAGUCUAUAAAGACCUUAGCAUUUUGCCAUACUGGAUAAGAACAGUUACUGACACAGAACCAUGCUUCAGGAGAUUGCUGAGUGAACAGGCCAGAUGACUAGUUUGCCACCAGCACUUCCUGGACAGUGAUGGGGCUGCCAUAAUGGAAUGUGAGGUGAGAUGAGAAGAUGGCCAUAAAGGAAGGGGAUGAGAAGUCCUGUUUACGGGCCAGGCUCAGGGAAUACAGGAAAUCUGAGGUUCCAUCUAUAGGUAGCAAUACUUAUGCAGAUAAAAGUCAUGAAACAGUAUUUGCAGUGCAAUUUCACUUUGGUUUAAAAAUGUUCUUAUGAAAUCACAUGCUCCUAAUUGUAUAUUCUGCAUAUAUUAUAUAUACACAUAAAAAGCUCUAAGCGGAUGUAUUCCAAUAUGUUUAGGAGUGAUUCUGUCCUGAGGAUGGGAUGCUCAGGGCUGAAGUUUCUUGCUUGUGCAUGUCUCUGUUUUACAGCAGUCCUAUGGUGAGCACCAGCUGCGUGGGGUGCAGGAGGUGGAGGAGAGGCCAGCCCUCACUCGGGAGGUCAAUCUCAGCCUCCUGUCUGGGGUUCUGCCCUCCCCCAUUCUGUGGCUCCACACUUCAGCACCACAUUUCUGUUCUGGCCUCCUCCUAGUUCAGGGGGCUUGUGCAGAGUCCCAUGCUCCCUUAUUGGCUCACAGACCUCAGGCCUCACCAACCACCCACUCGCUCUCUCUCUCUCCCCUUCUCUCUUGCACACACAUCACCACCAUCACACAUGCGCUCAUGUACACACCCUGCUGGACUCCCAGCUUUGCUGCUUCUCCACUCGGCCCCAUGCUGGGCUCUCCACAAAACACACUCUGCUGACAACACUGCAUACCCCUCCCAUCCCUACAGAAGGGGGACCAGGAAGAAACUGAGGCUCAGGGAGGUUGAGCUGUUUGCCUCCAGUCACACAGGUUGAAAGGAGUGGAGACAGGGCCGCAGGUUCCAGACCCAGACUGCCUCCCUCCACAUCACAGCUGCCACUCUUCUCUCCUUGCUACUCUUUACGCAACGCACCAGCAAGGCGCCUGGCUUCCCUGGUCUUGUCAGCCUUGCCAGAGCUGAGAGUGCACAGGCGCCCCGUUACCUGCGGCACCUCCACUGCAGAAAUGGAGAAGACGUGGAGGCAGAAGAUCUUGGAGCCGUUGUAGCCGACCACGAAGCCCGGCAGCUUCUGCCGGUGCACAGGAAAGGUGCUGGCUUUGAUGUUGAGGUAGCCUCCUCCCGAGAAGCAGAGCAUGUCCUCACACUGGGUGUUCCAGGCCACACUGUUGGCGUUUGGUUCCUAGAGGACAGGGACGGUAGGGAUCUGUGAGAACCACCCUGGGCGUGGGCAGUGCUUGCACAUUUCACCCCAAUACCCUUUUAAAGACUGAAUCCCACUAAAUUGCCUACAGUGGGAUAGAGGGAAAGGAGGGAAAGGGGAUCACAAAGAAAUGAACAGAGGGAAGCCCCUCCAUGCACCUGCGUGUUGUUGGAAUAUUUGAGUAAGCAAGCUUUACUUUUGAAAAAAAAUUAUUCUCCUGAAAUAUGAAUCCCUAUAUAGAAAGUGGAGAAUCAGCAAAGUGGAUUCCACUUCUAUUACAGAAGAAAUAUACAUCUCUAUACACAGAAGAACAUUUCCAAGAAUAUGCUCCAAACGAUUAACAGCGUUUCUGGGUGGGUGAAAUUGCAUAAUUAGAAAAUCUUUCUUUUCUGUUUGCCUGAAUUUGUCAUGAGCAUCUGUUCUGUUUGAUAAUAAGAAAAAGAACAGUGAGUUAUUUGUAAGAUUUGAAAAGCAUAUCUUAUCUUUUAAUUUACAGUUCACACAUUGUGAAAACAGAGUCUCCCUGGGAGGCACCCCCUGCACCUCAGUUUUUAUCUAAGCCCUGGAGCCUCGGAGACCAGCAGAUGCUCAUAGCUUUCUGUCUAGAAUGUUUUACAAUGUCUGAAUCUUUUAUGAGUGUGGAUUGCUUUUAUAAUGAGAAAAAUAUAUAUAGCUGUUUAUGUGCAGGGGUGGGGGACAGUGGAGAAGAGGAAAGCCAGCAGGCAAUGUCAUAGGUGGAAAUGUCGAUGUCUCCUGGCAGGGCUGAGAAUCACCUCCCCUAGCCCGCUACAGAGCCAGCAGUGGGGACAGGGGAACACACACGCCCUUCCACACUUGUAUGAUUCUAGGCUCAGACACAGAUUCACGUUUCGGGCAGCUGUCCCCGCAUAGGUGGGAGGUGAAGCUGGGGAGAAGGGAAGUAACAUGUCAGGCCCUAUUUUGUGCCCAGCACUGAGCUAGGCACUAUGGUAUCUUGUUUAUUCCUGCAGCAAUUCUGUGAGGGGCAAUUACUAAUCACAUUUUAGAGAAAAGUAAUCAAGGCUCAGGGAGGCUCACUAACUUGCUUAAGCUCACACAGUAAGGGAUGCAGGCAGGACACAAGCCCAGGUCAGCCUGAAGGCUGUGCUCUCUUCCCCCGAACCAUUCUACUCUCUCAGGGACAGGAGUGAGUUGAGACUGAUGGGGAGUCACCUCUGAGCUAGAGGUGGCCAGGUAACCACUUCUAAUUGACUGAGGCUGCUCCGCACUCCAGGCCCCUCCUGCUUAUUGAUUCUGCUGCCGAGUAUAAGCAGGAGUGUGGUAAGGGGACCAAAUCUGCCUGUAACAUCAGGAAACCCUGCGGUGGCCAAGGUAACCAGUCAAGAGGGGCUCCAGCUUUGAGGAGAACUUCAUCCCAGAAAACAGUCCUGAGCACCUUCAAAGACCUAAAGAGACGAAGAAUAGCAUGAGCCCAGCAGAAAGCCAGCCAGGCCCCAGGCAUGGAGCCGCCAGGCUGCCUUCUCUCAUGACAAGCUUCCUCGGCCACGGAGCUGAAUGACACCAAACAAUGCCUACACCCCCAAAGAUCCAAGCACUUGGCAUGCUGCUGGCUCUUCAAGCAUUCUUGUGAAUUAGUAGAAGGCCAGGCUUGCCCAUCUCUUUCCCCCUUUUGGAUGACAAAACUGAUCCUGUUUCUUUCCCGUGCCAUAGGUGCGCAGACACAGGCAGGCCUGCAGCAGGUGAGACGCAGACUUCUGUAAAGGAAGCGCAACCAUCGCCCCAUUCACUGAGCACGGACAGCACGCCCCACUUGGAGUCAUCACCCCAUUCGCUGAGCGCCAAUGACAUGCCCCCCUCAGAGUCACUGCCCCAUUUCUUGUUCGGUAAAUGCUCACGAAAGGCUCUGCUGGCUCAUCUCAUUGGCAAGGAAACCAAAGCUCAAGAGGCCGGCCCAGGCCCUGCUGCUUGUGCCUGCUUCUCAUGGGAGAAGCAGGUUGUGGCCCAGGGCCUCUGGGACUCUGCGCCUGUGCUUGGCCCCUGCCCUUCACUGCUCCUCCCAGAGACCUGCCUGGGCCAGAGCAGGAGAGCAUCCUGCAGGGACUGUGAAGCAAGAGGAGGAUCUCUAAUCAAAGGACGAUGUCCCUGGGCCUCCUCAGGGACUUCACCUGAAAAAGCAGCUCUUUGGUGUCGAUAUGUGGCCUGCUUCAGCAGGACGAUCACAGAGAUUGUCCACGAAGAUGUUCAGGAUCUGGCAGAAUUUUGGAGAAAACAGUGUCAGUCACCAUGGCAACAAGAUCCUGGCCCAGUGCCAGGCCCUUGGAAUCCCAUGUGCUCUGCAAGAACAGCUCCCGCUACCUUCACCAGAAGCUCUGUGCAGAGGCAAGGACUCAUCAAAAGAAAGAGGGGAGUGGGGGCGUUGGCUUAUCCUUAGGAGGCCAGAAGUGAGAUUCAUCAGAGGCUGCAGAAGUAAUGACAGCCCUGAGACAGGCAGAGCUCACUUUAGUGUCUGUUUGGACUGGGGAUUUGUUAAUGACAUUACUCAAACUGCAGCGUUAGGAGACACCAUCUAGCAGAGAUCUGAGUCAUGAACUAACACAGGAAAAGGCUGCUGUGAACACUGACAAGACGUGUGGUAGAAAAUUAUGAUGCUGACAGUGAUGAUGACAGCUACCAUUUACUGAGGCUCCUGGUUUAAAAAUAUUUUUUUAAGAGAUAAGGUCUUAUUAUGUUGCCCAGGCUGACUGCAGUGACUAUUCACAGGUGUAAUCAUAUCACACUGCAGCCUCAAACUCUUGGACUCAAGAGAUCUUCCUGUCUCAGCCUCCUGAGCUCUGGGACAACAGGUACCCACCACCAUGCCUGCUUUAAUAUCCCUUUAAUAGCCUUGGUGUUUUUUUUUUUUUACACUGGCUUUAACUCCCAACCUUGAUUCUGUUUUUGACAGUCCUAUGAAAUAUACGGUACUAAGCUCAUGAAAAACCAGCCUCAGGGAGGUAAAAUAACCCGCCCAGGAUGACAAAGCCAGUGAGUAGCUAAGUAAGAACAUGACCUCAGGUCCACCUGAUCCCAAAGCCCAUGCUCCCAUGGGAAGCGAGAGCUGACUGAGAAAGAAGCAGGCCCUUUCUCCCCUUGGCAUUGCUGCUUGACUUCACCCACCGCUCUUAUGCCCUAUGACUUCCGUCCCCAACAAAGACUGGAGAAACCUUCGCCAUAAGUCAUCUGCUGCACAGCUGGGCUCUCGGACUAAGGCAGCUACACUGUCACUUUCAAAGUUCCACUCAGAACUUUUCUUAUGCUAAGCAAAGAACACGUGUGCACACGUACACACACAUGCAGAUAGACACACAUGCAGAUAUACACACACAGAAAUCUGUUUAACUUUGUGUAACCUGCAUUUCCCACAUCUAAUUGACCAAAGGGCCCAUUUUUCUAUGGCAUCUAUCAGUGUCCUGUGGACCCGGCAUUCUCUAGGACACAUGCUGGAACGCACUGCCCUACUUGCCGCCCUAAUCGGGAGCUGAUCUAGGUAAUGAUCUCUGCCUCCCUCUAGAAAUUCACAGAAGCAGCAUCUCUAACAAAUCUCCCACCUUCUGAUGACCUUAAACCAAUAAUCCACUCUACGUGUAGCCAGAGGCUAUAGCUCAACACUGCCAAAACAUGGGCCUGCUAUGAGUGUGAGGGCCACUGCAUCUUUGGCCUGAGGCUGUUCUCAAAAAAAGCAAAACUCGCCGGGCGCGGUGGCUCACACCUGUAAUCCCAGCACUUUGGGAGGCCGAGGCGGGUGGGUCAAGAGAUCAAGACCAUCCUGGUCAACGUGGUGAAACCCCGUCUCUACUAAAAAUACAAAAAAUUAGCUGGGCAUGGUGGCGCAUGCCUGUAAUCCCAGCUACUCAGGAGGCUGAGGCAGGAGAAUUGCCUGAACCCAGGAGGCGGAGGUUGCAGUGAGCUGAGAUCGCGCCAUUGCACUCCAGACUGGGUAACAAGAGCGAAACUCCGUCUCAAAAAAAAAGCAAAACUCUUCUCUGAAGUCUCAAAGUUGGAAAGAGGGGUGAAGUAACUUGCCUGAAGCACACAGCUACACAGAGAGAUGGGGGCGUCAUUGGAGCUCCAGAGGUCAAGGCUACAGUCAGCAGUGACUGUGCCACUGCAUUCCAGCUUGGGUAACAGUCAAGACCCCAUCUCAAAAAGAAAGAAAAAAAUAAAAUAAGUCAAACAUAGAGUUAAUGUAUGAGUCAGCAAUUCUUCUAGAUAUAUGCUCAGGAGAAUGGAAAACAUAUGCUCAUACAAAAACUCGGACAUCAAAACUCACAGCAGUAGUCAAUAAGAAACAAUCUAAUGUUUAUCAAUUGAUAUAUGGAUUUCAAAAUGUGCUUUAUCUAUAUAGUAGAAUAUUAUUUAGUCAAAGAUGAAUGAAUCAUGCUGGGCACAGUAGCACAUGCCUGUAAUCCUGGCACUUUGGGAGGCCAAGGUGGGAGGAUCCUUUGAGACCAGGAUUUUGAGACCAGCCUGGGCAACAUAACCAGAUAUUGUCUCUACAAAAACAUAAAAAUGAGGCAGGUGUAAUGACAUGCACCUGUAGUCCCAGGUACUCAGGAGUCUGGGACAGGAGGAUCACUUGCGCCUAAGAGUUUCAGGCCACAAUGAGCUAUGUGUGUCACUGCUCUCCAGCCUGGGUGGCAGAGUGAGACCUUGUCUCUUAAAAAAAACAAAAUGAUAAAUCAUGCUGCAACACAGAUGACUUUGAAAACAUGCUAAGUGAAGGAAGCCAGUCUAAAAAGACACCAUAUUGUAUUAUUUCAUGUCUAUGGAAUGUCUGGAAUAGGCAAAUCCAUGGAAACAGAAAAUAACUGUUGCCAUGGGAUGGGGAAUUGGAGGAAUAGCGGGUGACUGCUGGUGGGAACUCGCGCUCUCCCUCCCUCUCUCUCUCUCUCUCUCUCUCUCUCUCUCACUCUUGUCGCCCACGCUGGAGUGCAAUGGUGCAAUCUUGGCUCACCACAACCUCCGCCUCCCGGGUUCAAGCAAUUCUCCUGCCUCAGCCUCCUGAGUAGCUGGGAUUACAUGCACACGUCAACCAUGCCCAGCUAAUUUUUUGUAUCUUCAGUAGAGACAGGGUUUCACCAUUUUGACCAGGAUGGUCUCGAUCUCUUGACCUCGUGAUCCACCCACCUCGGCCUCCCAAAGUGCUGGGAUUACAGGCUUGAGCCACCACGCCCAGCCCAGCUAAUUUUAUAUUUUUAGUAGAAGCAGGUUUUCACCAUGUUAGUCAGGCUGGUCACCAACCUCGGGUGAUCCACUCACCUUGGCCUCUCAAAGUGCUGGGCUUACAGGCGUGAGACACCGUGCCUGGCCAGAACUGGGUUUCUUUUUGGGGUGAUGUAAAUGUUCUGAAAUUAGAUAGUAGUAAUGAUUCCACAACUUUAUGAAUAUACUAAAAAACCCUGAAUUAUACGCUUUUUUUUGAGGUGGAGUUUUGCUGUUGUUGCCCAGGCUGAAGUCCAGUGGCGUGAUCUUGGCUCACUGCAACCUCUCCCUCCUGGGUUCAAGCAAUUCUCCUGCCUCAGCCUCCCAAGUACCUGGGAUUACAGGCGUGUGCCACCACAUCUGGCUAAUUUUUGUAUUAGUAGUAGAGACAGAGUUUCACUGUGUUGGCCAGGCUUAUCUCAAACUCCUGAGCUCAGGUGAUCCACCUGCCUCUGCCUCCCAAAGUGCUGGGAUUACAGGCAUGAGCCACCGUGCCAGGCCCCAGUUGUCCCUUCCUUAGGGCCCCUAAUCUUCCUCCUAAUACUCAUCUUCAUAUCCCACUUUAUCUCCCAAAGGCUGACUCCCUUGUCCAGGCAGCCACCCAGAAACACAUUGAUACCAUCCUUCUCUGCCAAGUCUGGUAUCAGUGCCUCCAGGAAAACAGCUCUGAAGUUGGACACCCGCUGUUUCGAAACCCAAACCAAGUACAGCACCCCUACUCAGCAGGAAGCAGCCAGAUAAUCAACGCCCCUAUUCCUUUUUAUUAAAGUAGAAGGCAAGAAUGUUCAUCUAAACUGCACCAUUUUGUAAGCCCCCUGCCAUUUUGCAAGCCCUGGUCAAAGUGAAACAUUCCCCGGGGGCUCAGGCCGUGAGAACCAUCCUGCCUUAUCAUAUUCUGCUGGGAGAAAGUGCAAGGAACACCACAUUCCACCAGAACAAGGGCUAGAACCACCUCAUCGUGGAAACAUCUUAUCCAUAUACUGCCGAACAGCAAGCCAUACGGCCCAGACCCCUUCCACCUGUACCUGUAUGUAUUUCCCUGUUGAAAUGGGAAACGUUCCCUUAUCCCCCUCACAGGGCAUGUGACAGGGGUGUGGCUCGCUUCUUCUGUGUCCCGCUGCUCAAACCUCUAGGGGAGCAUGCAGACAGGUAGGCUGUGGGGCCCCGACCCCAUGACAUUGUCUAGGGGUGAAUGUUUACAGCUGAAGCCCCAGUGGGCGUGCCAUUUCAGUUUUGCCGUCCACAGGCGGCUUGUGUUAAUCAGCUCAAUUAACACAUGGACAGAGGCCUUACGACAUGGACAGAGGGCUUUCUGUAUCCCAGGUUCUUGCCUUAGUAUACCGGAAAAAUCAGCUCACACGUGGGCUUGGAGGAUGGGUGCAAAGUUUUUUAUUGAGUGCUGGAAGUAGCUCUCAGGGAGGUGGACGGGGAGGCCAGCAGGGGAACGGAGUGGGAAGGUGGUUUUCCUCUGGAGUUGGGCCACCCAGCAGCUUGGCUCUCCUCCAGCUGCCCUCAGCCGAACUCUGCGUUGCUCCACCUGUCAACGGCCUGCUGUCGUCUGCGAGUGCCUGUCGGUGUGUCCCUCUUGAUGUCCAGCCGCUUGUGUCUCUGCCUGAUAGGAUCUUGGGGUUUUUAGAGGCACAGAUUGGGGGCGUGGUAGGCCAGGGUGGUCUUGGAAAAUGCAGCAUUUGGGCAUGAAAAUAGAAACAACCUGUCCUCACCUCUGUGGGCACAGGCCCAGGGGUGGAGCCCUAGCCAGGAGCAGCCUUCCUCUAUGACGCACUUCCCUGCCCCACUCCCAGAUGCGGUGGGCGCUGGCAUUCAGCCGGUCCCCCACUUGCACGGAUGUCUGCAAUGCACCUGUGUUGCUGUUUGAUCUGGCCCUUCUCUGUGUGUUUUUAACCCUCACCUUCCCUUCAAAACCGAACACUGGUUAGGUGAGUUGGAGGUGAUCCCUGCUCUGUGGUGCCUUCUCACUACACUAACUACAAAACUACAUUAACUGUACUGACUCUGCUAACAAUACUGAUAAUUCUGACUGCACUCAAAAUACUAAGCAAUGAUGCAGAAUAUACUAACUUCACUAACAAUGCUAACUAGAAAAAACACACCAACCGCCCCACACCCCACCCUCCCACACCCAAACCCCCCACACAAACCCCUCCACAACAAACCCACCACACACACACACACACACACACGUACAUGCAUACACAACUUGCAAUUGCUAAACUGGUCUGAGUCCACAGGUCACCAAAUAGGCUUCCAGGGAUAGCAGACCUUCUAUAGGCCCUGGGUGUGAUUCCAUAACAAUGGCUCUUCAUGAAGUCAGAGCAAAGCGUGGGCCAGUCAUGGUUGGCGAUCAUUUCAUUCACAGUGAUUUUCUUGCUUUGGGGCCCCAAAACAUCCUCUUUUUUUUUUUUUUUUUGAAAAGAAAAGUGCUUUUUGUCUAGCUGAGUUGUAGAGAUUGAUAUUUAGUUUCCUUGCUAUUUAAACUGGCACAAUACUUCAAUGGCAUUUUCAUUUGUAGUUUCAAAAUUUGAAGUAACUUUUGGAUUUUAAAGAUCUCCUAAUGUCUACACUCAAAAUAUUCAAUUCUGUUUUCUUUCAUCUCUGAAUGAUUGGUCUAGAUCAUUCAGAAGGGAGGGAAUUGUUAGUCAAAACCGCACCAUGUUGUAAGCUCCCUGCUAUUUUGCAGACCUUGGUCAAAGUGAAAGGUUUCACAGGGGUUCAGGCCAUGAGAAGCAUCCUGCCUAACCACGUGACCACAAGGCAGACAAAGGCCCAACUAGAGAAACAUCCCCAUCGUAUCUUGCUGAACAAAGAUCCAGGGAACACCAUGAUAACAUCCCGCCAGAGCAAGGGCCAGAAUCGCCUCAUCAUGGGAACAUCUGAUCAAUAUCCUGUGGGUAGUAAGCUGUACUGCCCAGACCCCUCCUGCCCAUACCUAUAAGUACCCCCAGCCCGUAUGCAGUGGUGGGCUCCGGCAUUAGGCUUCAUGCUGGACAUAAAACCUGCAUUUGCUGUUGAGCGCCCUCUUUCUGUGUGUGCAUCUUUCUUUAACCCUCAUCUUCCCUUCAAAACUUAACAGGAAUAUUUCUUUUUCUUUUUUUCAAGAUGGAGUCUCCCGCUGUUGUUACCCAGGCUGCAGGGCCAUGGCACAAUCUCAGCUCACUGCAACCUCGCUUCCUGGGCUGAAGCAAUUCUCCUGCCUCAGCCUCCUGAGUAGCUAGGAUUACAGACACCCGCCACCAUGCCCAGCUAAUUUUUGUAUUUUUCAUAGAGAUGGGGUUUCACCAUGUUGGCCAGGCUGGUCUCAAACUCCUGACCUCCGGUGAUCUGCCCGCUUCAGCCUCCCAAAGUGUUGGUAUUACAGGCAUGAGCCACCGCACCCAGCCCAUUUUUCUUUUCUUGUAGGAUUUUCCUUCUUCAUGUGCCUCCACCACCCAUGCCCCUCCAUCCAGGCUUCCAGAGGGAUCCAAGGGAAAGCCACCUCUGGUGGCCCUGAGACCUUCAGAAGAUGAACCGCCUUUCGAAUUAGUUUUCUGAGUCGACGUCCGACUUAUUGAUUCCCAGUGUUGGGAUCCAAGCAACCCACUGUGGCAGCCUAAAUAGCAGCGGUAAGACUGAUGGUGCUCUUCUGCCCGGGAAUCUCUGGUCUGGCUUCCCUCUUGAGUCUGCAACAAGCGGCUCUGAUUUCCCGGAGCUCCAAACUCCGGUCAGUAGGGGAAGCAGUCCCGUUGGCUCUGCAUGAAGAGCUGCUGCGCCGAGAAGCCGGCAAAACCGCUGCAGCGGCCACAAGAAUCGCGCUGGCAACCCGUGGGGCUCCUCCACUGGGAAUCAGCUGAUCGGUGAGUGACGAAAAUUUGUCUAAAAGUGUGGCGUCGUCUCGUUCUCUGGGCUUUCACUGGGAGCUACAAUCCUGAGCUGUUAGUGGUCGGCCAUCUUGGAUCGAUCUCGAGACAGGGUCUCAUUCUGUCACCCAGGUUGGAUGGAGUGCAGUGGCACAAUCAUAGCUCACUUCAGCCUUCACCUCCCAGGAUCAAGUGAUCCUCCCCUCAGCCUCCCAAGUAGCUGGGACUACAGGCUUAUGCCACCAUACCUGGCUAAUUUUUUGAAGAGAGAGGGUCUCACCAUGUUGCCCAGGCUGAUCUUGAACCUCUGGGAUCAAGCAAUCCUACCAUCUUGCCCUCCCAAAUUGCUGGGAUUCCAGGCGGGAGCCAUUGUGCCCAGCCUACUCUUCCUCUUCUAUCGUGCCUCUCCCUGGAGGAAGCUGCUGCACCCUGAGUGCCUGGCACACCUGUGGCCCUGAAGAGGUGCUCAAACACAUGACUCCCUGGGGGCCUCGGAUCUGGGCAGCUCCCCUGUGUGACAUGAGGCAGGGAACAGAUGUCACUGGGUGGAAUGCUGCCUUAGGUGAUGAGGGCUGUCCUUGUUCUCUUGUAAGCCAGCCGUGGCCACUCUUCCAGGGGACCCUCCCCCAAUGCCUGGCCUGACUGGCAGCCUUCCUGUCCUGCCCAGGGUAGUAUCUGCCACACACUCCAAAGCUGGCCUUUUGCUGUGAGGUCCUGAAGGGCAAGGCAUGUAUGUGAGUCACCACUGCUGGGGCCUGGUAGGGUGAGGAGGCAUCUAAGCAGGACUGCUGCCAACCCCCUCCUGGGUCUGGAGUGGAGGAGCUGGCAACUAACUCCACCUUGUGAGGCUGAUGGGAGGCCUCAAAGAUGCCGUGGCGAUUCCACUGGGCUCAGGAGCACCAGGGGCUCCUCGGGGCUUGUGUCUGGGAGCAAGGCCUGGCCCUGGGGCUUCUGGGCCUGCUUGUGUUAGGGGCAGUCUGAGGAUGGCCUGGGGUUGGUCCGUGGGUGUCCCAGGGCCUCCUACAUCUGAUGGCCUUGCUCUUGCCCUUCAGCGCAACCCUCUGGUGCCUCUACAGAGCUCAUCCUGGUGGAGACCUGGUGGAGGACCUCACGCUAGGAAGAAGUGACCUACAAACACCUUGGCAUCCGGAUACGGCCCUUGUCCUGCCACCUCCUGCGUGGGUGAGACCCACCAGGGGACGCCCCGCCUUCCAACAUGCAGUCUGACUGUCCCUAAGUCUUCCUCCUGCAGGUGGAGCUCCACAUCAGGAAACACUCAGGUUACUUCUUUCUCGAUGGCAGUGCCACAGAUGACAUCAAGGUGGCCUACCAGGAGGCCAGGGCACCAUUGGGGAAGUUCCGCGUGAUUGAGGAGUGUUGCAAUCAGGCCAGCUUCAGAGACUUUCCCCGGACCCAGCAAGGCCUGGGUUGAUUCGGCACUUGGUGUGUGG